rnacentral:rRNA from 1 species
UACGGAGGGUGCAAGCGUUGUCCGGAUUUAUUGGGUUUAAAGGGUGCGUAGGCGGCUCUUUUAAGUCAGCGGUGAAAGUCCAGAGCUUAACUCUGGGAUUGCCAUUGAUACUGAAGAGCUUGAGUAUAGUUGAGGUAGGCGGAAUUGACAGUGUAGCGGUGAAAUGCAUAGAUAUUGUCAAGAACACCGAUUGCGUAGGCAGCU